GGUCUGUUAGCUUAGUUGGUAGAGCGUGGUACUAAUAAUGCCAAGGUCAUGGGUUCGAGCCCCAUACGGACCA
rnacentral:tRNA from 1 species